GACGAACGCUGGCGGCGUGCUUAACACAUGCAAGUCGAACGAUGAAGAAGAGAAACGCGAACUUCGGUUCAAAUUUCACUUCGGAUUAGUGGCAGACGGGUGAGUAACGCGUGAGCAACCUACCUCUUACAAAGGGAUAGCCUCGGGAAACCGUGAUUAAUACCAUAUGACACAUUCAUAAGGCAUCUUAAGAAUGUUAAAGCUACGGCGGUAAGAGAUGGGCUCGCGUCCCAUUAGCUAGUUGGUGAGGUAACGGCCCACCAAGGCGACGAUGGGUAACCGGACUGAGAGGGUGAACGGUCACAUUGGAACUGAGACACGGUCCAAACUCCUACGGGAGGCAGAAGUGGGGAAUAUUGCACAAUGGAGGGAACUCUGAUGCAGCGACGCCGCGUGAGCGAUGAAGGAAUUCGUUUCGUAAAGCUCUGUUCUAUGGGAAGAAAAGGACUGUACCAUAGGAGAAAGCCCCGGCUAAAUACGUG
rnacentral:rRNA from 1 species